UCUAGAGAAGGUCCAGGAAGAGAUUUCUCGAAUAAUUGGAUUAGCCAAUCCCAGUUACAAUCAUCGUGCAGAUAUGCCAUACACCAAUGCAGUGGUACAUGAAAUACAGAGGUUUGCUGAUGUGGUUCCAUUGAACGUUCCUCAUGAAACCACAAAAGAUGUCAUAUUUAAAGGAUAUUUUAUUCCUAAAGUAAGUUUAUUUAACAUAUAUUGUAUUCAGAUUUUACUAAAUUG